CGCCGCCGCCGCCGCCUUACUCAAUGAAGAAAACGCGGCCGUCCCUGCACACGCCGUAGGACCAGUGCUCAGGAAGAUCACACACCAACUGCAGCUGCUUCCUCAGCCUGAUGAAGAGUAUUUUUACCCAAAAACUUGUUACAAAGAAUUUUUCCAACUACUUGAGUUGGUCUAAUAAAAGAUAUCAGAUUUACCCAAAGAA